CAGCAGUGUACACACUUGAAAAAGCAGAAUUUGAUGUGUAAUCUGCAAUGUGUCUGUAGGUCCUGUAAUAGGAGCCCAUGGAAGCCUUUUUAGGUCUACCUGACACUCAUGAAUGUACUGUAUAUGAUGCUAAUGCCUUCCGCAAGCAUACUUUUUGUGGAGCAAAUCAAUAUACCCCCCCCUUUUUUUUUUUUUCUCCCCCUAUUGUUAUGCGCUGAAAUGAGUGCACUGUUUCUUUUGAAAGUUCUUUUUGAAACGUGACAUCAGAAAAUGACGGAGAAAAUGUCUGCAAACUACUAUUAUUAUUUGAAUUUUUAUUUGUAAAAACAUUUCUUUGAUAUAUAAUGACGAUAAAUUCAAUAGGUGAAGAAUAAAAAUGACAUCCUUAACCCUUGCACGUUGGAAAGGCCAAUGGAAUCAAAUAUAAAUGUAUAUAUGCUCAAAAUACAGUUGACUGAUCAAAUGCAAACAACCAGCAUUGCAGUUAUGUACAGUUUAAACCUAAUCAUAGAGCAUACUGUAAGAUUGAUAUUAAGCAUCCACGAUUGAGAUAUGAAAAUCAUAUUUUGAAAGUCCACACAGCUGUGUGUGAAUCAGUACAAUAUAACGUUCUACCUCAAGAACAGGGUACCUCAGUCCGAUCUUUUCUCCCUUUUGCAUAUUUUGUAUACCUUGUAGAGCUCUCAAACUUAGAGCUUUUUUUAUUUUUCUAAAUAAAAGAACAAGAAAAAAAGAGUUAGCGCAAGGCACAAAUAAGACCUGCUCGUUCUUGCAAAAAGAGGUUUCAGACCGCUUCACGAGAAACUAAUCGUUGCUUUAUGGACCGUUUGGAUCGAAUGAACUCUGAGGUUAAAACAACUCUUGGGCAACUGAACAUUUGGGUUGACAGUACUUCGUUUCUUGCAGUUUUAUGUUUGUACUAAAAUAAUCGUCUCAACAAGUAGUCUUGUCUAAGAAUACAGCUUAAUCCAACUAUACGCAGUGUUCUUUAGCCUGUAUGGAGACAUUUAGAAAAUGUUAUCUUUAUGUUACUGUUACAAAUGGCUCUGUAGUUUAUAAUCUGUAUUUCAAGGUCAUGUCUGAUGAAAUGGCCACUAACACGUCAGCUUUGAAUUUAUUCUAACAUCGUAUUUGUGUGAGGUUUUAGUAUAGGAAUAAUCUCCGACAGUUUAAUAUUAGUGUAAUAACAGUAGGCACGAUUGAAUUUGAUCUUUUCAAUUUGGGUUUCUGUAGAAAAAAAAUUGCUGUGUCAAACCGGAUGGUGUCCGGCUGUCUCAAGACCAUCUCUUCUCAUAUCAUUUACAAAGACAUCAUGUAGAUGAAACAUAAUCUUUGCCGUAGUACUUAUCUGCAGCUGUUUCUGUGUCUGUUUCUCAUGUCUUUCUAGACCACAUAUAAUAAAUCACUUUGGGUGUUAAUGCUGAUCUGACAUCAGUUUUUGAUAUCGAUUCAUAUAAUGACAUCAUGUGAAGUCAAUGAAGGGUAAACAAACUAAUUUCAGACUUAGGGUGUUAGUUAAAAGUGGGAGGGUUAAGUGAAUAUUCAUGAAUACACUUGUCUGUUUUUAUGUUUUUUGGAAGGGUCACAAUACCUUCCUUAUGGAUUUGAGCAAUAAAGAGUGUUUCAAACAACAUCUAAA
rnacentral:lncRNA from 1 species